rnacentral:rRNA from 1 species
AUUGAACGCUGGCGGCAGGCCUAACACAUGCAAGUCGAACGAGUGGCGGACGGGUGAGUAAUGUCUGGGAAACUGCCCGAAGGAGGGGGAUAACUACUGGAAACGGUAGCUAAUACCGCAUACCAUCGGAUGUGCCCAGAUGGGAUUAGCUAGUAGGUGGGGUAACGGCUCACCUAGGCGACGAUCCCUAGCUGGUCUGAGAGGAUGACCAGCCACACUGGAACUGAGACACGGUCCAGACUCCUCCGGGGGACAGCGGUGGGGAAUAUUGGACAAUGGGCGAAAGCCUGAUGCGGCCAUGCCGCGUGUAUGAAGAAGGCCUUCGGGUUGUAAAGUGCUUCCAUCGAGGAGGCGUUACUCGCAGAGGAAGCGCCGGCUAACUCCGUGCCAGCAGCCGCGGUAAUAC